GUAGGUGGCAAGCGUUGUCCGGAAUUAUUGGGCGUAAAGCGCGCGCAGGCGGUUCUUUAAGUCUGAUGUGAAAGCCCACGGGCUCAACCGUGGAGGGUCAUUGGAAACUAGAGAACUUGAGUACAGAAGAGGAAAGCGGAAUUCCACGUGUAGCGGUGAAACGCGUAGAGAUGUGGAGGAACACCAGUGGCGAAGGCGGCUUUCUGGUCUGUAACUGACGCUGAGGCGCGAAAGCGUGGGGAGCAAACAGGAUUAGAUACCCUGGUAGUCCACGCCGUAAACGAUGAGUGCUAAGUGUUAGGGGGUUUCCGCCCCUUAGUGCUGCAGCUAACGCAUUAAGCACUCCGCCUGGGGAGUACGGCCGCAAAGGCUG
rnacentral:rRNA from 1 species